rnacentral:rRNA from 1 species
CAUGCAAGUCGAACGAUGAAGCCCUUCGGGGUGGAUUAGUGGCGAACGGGUGAGUAACACGUGGGCAAUCUGCCCUUCACUCUGGGACAAGCCCUGGAAACGGGGUCUAAUACCGGAUAACACUCUGUCCCGCAUGGGACGGGGUUAAAAGCUCCGGCGGUGAAGGAUGAGCCCGCGGCCUAUCAGCUUGUUGGUGGGGUAAUGGCCUACCAAGGCGACGACGGGUAGCCGGCCUGAGAGGGCGACCGGCCACACUGGGACUGAGACACGGCCCAGACUCAUACGGGAGGCAGCAGUGGGGAAUAUUGCACAAUGGGCGAAAGCCUGAUGCAGCGACGCCGCGUGAGGGAUGACGGCCUUCGGGUUGUAAACCUCUUUCAGCAGGGAAGAAGCGAAAGUGACGGUACCUGCAGAAGAAGCGCCGGCUAACUACGUGCCAGCAGCCGCGGUAAUACGUAGGGCGCAAGCGUUGUCCGGAAUUAUUGGGCGUAAAGAGCUCGUAGGCGGCUUGUCACGUCGGAUGUGAAAGCCCGGGGCUUAACCCCGGGUCUGCAUUCGAUACGGGCUAGCUAGAGUGUGGUAGGGGAGAUCGGAAUUCCUGGUGUAGCGGUGAAAUGCGCAGAUAUCAGGAGGAACACCGGUGGCGAAGGCGGAUCUCUGGGCCAUUACUGACGCUGAGGAGCGAAAGCGUGGGGAGCGAACAGGAUUAGAUACCCUGGUAGUCCACGCCGUAAACGUUGGGAACUAGGUGUUGGCGACAUUCCACGUCGUCGGUGCCGCAGCUAACGCAUUAAGUUCCCCGCCUGGGGAGUACGGCCGCAAGGCUAAAACUCAAAGGAAUUGACGGGGGCCCGCACAAGCAGCGGAGCAUGUGGCUUAAUUCGACGCAACGCGAAGAACCUUACCAAGGCUUGACAUAUACCGGAAAGCAUCAGAGAUGGUGCCCCCCUUGUGGUCGGUAUACAGGUGGUGCAUGGCUGUCGUCAGCUCGUGUCGUGAGAUGUUGGGUUAAGUCCCGCAACGAGCGCAACCCUUGUUCUGUGUUGCCAGCAUGCCCUUCGGGGUGAUGGGGACUCACAGGAGACUGCCGGGGUCAACUCGGAGGAAGGUGGGGACGACGUCAAGUCAUCAUGCCCCUUAUGUCUUGGGCUGCACACGUGCUACAAUGGCCGGUACAAUGAGCUGCGAUGCCGCGAGGCGGAGCGAAUCUCAAAAAGCCGGUCUCAGUUCGGAUUGGGGUCUGCAACUCGACCCCAUGAAGUCGGAGUUGCUAGUAAUCGCAGAUCAGCAUUGCUGCGGUGAAUACGUUCCCGGGCCUUGUACACACCGCCCGUCACGUCACGAAAGUCGGUAACACCCGAAGCCGGUGGCCCAACCCCUUGUGGGAGGGAGCUGUCGAAGGUGGAA